CGGAGGAAAAGAAACUACAAGGAUUCCCCUAGUAACGGCGAGUGAAGCGGGAAGAGCUCAAAUUUGAAAGCUGGCGCCUUCGGCGUCCGCGUUGUAAUCUCGAGAAGUGUUUUCCGUGCUGGACCAUGUACAAGUUCCUUGGAAUAGGACGUCAUAGAGGGUGAAAAUCCCGUCCUUGACAUGGACGCCCAGUGCUUUGUGAUACGCUCUCCACGAGUCGAGUUGUUUGGGAAUGCAGCUCAAAAUGGGUGGUAAAUUCCAUCUAAAGCUAAAUAUUGGGGAGAGACCGAUAGCGAACAAGUACCGUGAGGGAAAGAUGAAAAGCACUUUGGAAAGAGAGUUAAACAGUACGUGAAAUUGUCGAAAGGGAAGCGCUUGAAGUUAGACAUGCCUGCUGGAAUUCAGCCUUGCUUUUUGCUUGGUGUAUUUUCCGGUGAGCAGGCCAGCAUCAGUUUUGUCUGUCGGAUAAGGGUAGGAGGAACGUAGCCCCCCUCGGGGGGUGUUAUAGCCUCUUACUGGAUACGGCGGAUGGGACUGAGGACCGCAGUGUGCCUUUAUGGCGGGCCUUCGGGCACCUUCACACUUAGGAUGCUGGCGUAAUGGC
rnacentral:rRNA from 1 species